rnacentral:rRNA from 1 species
UACGGAGGGUCCAAGCGUUAUCCGGAAUCAUUGGGUUUAAAGGGUUCGCAGGCUGUUCAUUAAGUCAGUGGUGAAAUCUCUCGGCUCAACCGAGAAACUGCCAUUGAUACUGAUGGACUUGAAUAUAGUUGGAGUAGGCGGAAUGUGUAGUGUAGCGGUGAAAUGCUUAGAUAUUACACAGAACACCGAUAGCGAAGGCA